rnacentral:sRNA from 1 species
GCAAAUGUUCCUCUUGCCAUUACUUCAUCAUUACCACGACGGCUACCAUAUGAAUUGAAGUCCUUACGGUCCACACCACGCUCAAGCAAGUACUUGGCAGCAGGGCUGUCUUUGUGAAUGCUACCUGCUGGUGAAAUAUGGUCUGUCGUAAUGCUGUCCCCAAAGUUCAGUAAGCAGUAGGCAUUCUUCACCCCAUGGGGGCCAGGUGGGGACAUGGUCAUGUCCUUAAAGUAUGGAGGCUCAUGGAUAACACGUACUUCUGCAAUUUCUUCAGUUGAGGGCCAUAUGUCCCUGAAGAAGACUUCUUUACCAUCCUUUCCAACUCCAAUCGGCUCUUUCUCAAAAUCAAUGUCAACCUGAAAAGUACAAGUUCUAAUGUUAGCAGGCUCCCUGAGACAAAAGCAAAGAUAGGCAAAAUUUUAAUACCAUGCCAACCCUUCCAACAGAAUCGAGUUAAUAUGAGUAUCAAGGAGGAGAAAACAACACAAACUUACAGUGCCAGCAAGUGCAUAUGCAACCACAAGAGGCGGUGAAGCAAGGUAAUUAGCCCGGGUCAAUGGGUGCACACGACCCUCGAAGUUACGGUUGCCCGACAGAACAGCAGCAGCAACAACAUCUAUA